UAAUAUAGUGUGAAAGAAAGAAAUGCAAAACGAUAACAGUUCAUAUGGCCUUCAUAUCAGCAGAAACCACUGUCUAUGCGGUACUUCUUAAUGCCCCAUUGGCUUGAUAACGCAGUCAUGAGUACCUGCAAGCAUAAGAAAAUGAAAGUUGAUUAGUAUUCUAAAGAAAAAAAAGCAGUAAAAGAGGAAAACAAAACCAAGAGUUAAGAGAGAGAACAAAGAAUAAAAAUACUUGAAUCAUUGGUGGUGAUGGUGGCUGUGCCAUUGAAAUCACAACCGCGAGUGAAACCCAUAUUGAUAAAAGAGUUGUGAUUUCAAUGGCACAGCCACCAUCACCACCAUAUUACAUGGGUCGUCCGCCUUGGCAGUGCAACUUUCCAUGGGUGUUACCCGGCAGAAACCCAUGGUGGUAAUGGCCGUUGUUGUGCUCUCAGGCUAAAGCCAUUGUUGUGCUCUCAAGCUAAACCAGAACAACAGUACGUGGGACGCACCAACGUCACACAUGUUGUUCUGCUUUAGCUGAG
rnacentral:lncRNA from 1 species